CACGCACUACCCUGGCACCCUGGCUGAACAACCCGCAGCACAUCAUCUCCAGCUGAGAGGGGGACUCAUACAUUCAUUUGAAAUCAGCUCUACUGAGCGUAACACAACUCUUGCAAUCAAAUUUGGCAGAGGCUCUGAAGGCCACAUAGCCAGCAAGGUACACUGACACAUUGCCCUCAAUGACGUCCAGCCCCUUCAUGAACUCUGUGUUGUCCAGUCCAGGGAAUGUGGGUUCCUCAUCAGUAGACUGUACGUGAGGCAUGGUCAGUGCGGUGCAUGGAUGGGGAGUUGCCAUCUGCGAUGACUCAGUGCAGCUCUACAAAAUCAUUGCAAAUGAUUACAGACUUACAGUAUACUAAUCAUGUGUGACACUUUUGUUUUUGAAAGGGUGUUUCGUGUACCUCGUGAGGCAUGGUCAGUGCGGUGCAUGGAUGGGGAGUUGCCAUCUGCGAUGACUCAGUGCAGCUCUACAAAAUCAUUGCAAAAGAUUACAGACUUACAGUAUACUAAUCAUGUGUGACACUUUUGUUUUUGAAAGGGUGUUUCGUCUACCUCAAACAAAUGGGACAAUUGCAGCAAUAGGUGUAUUUCCUCCGGUUCGCAAUUUGUAUUUCUCCCAAAUGUCAUUAGAUAGUCUAGCACGGCCUGCCUGUAGUCUAAUCGGAAUUGCUGAGGGUCUGGAUUGUCCCUGUGCCCGCCCUUCGCUCUGAUCACCCCAAAGAAGUGUUCCAGGCAGUCCUGGUUGAGGUGCCUCGUAAAUAGAAACUGAAAUCCUUUCUCUGUGAAUGCAAAUGACAAACAGUACAUUGGCCAACAGCAGAAAACAUGCAGUGGUGGACAAAGCUCAUUAGCAUUAGCAAAGCUCAAUUUGAAUAAUUAUGCCUUAUUGCUGCUACCUUUCAAUUCAGCCCAGAUUUCCUUGAUUGCUCUUAGGUUAUGCCUCCAACCAUUUAGGCAAUUCAAGCUGUUGCCACUGGCACAUCUGACAGAUGCCAGCCAGUUAAUACUCUCAUUGAUAAAAUCAAUAUGUGUCUCUCUGAAGGCAUCCUUUUGUGGUGUGCUGCUGGACAAUGUGCUACUGUUAAAGCAGUCAAACAUCUGGUUAAAGUGGGCUACAAAAUCUGCCGUCGUUUUUGCCCCCUCUCUUAGCUUCCCCAUGUCUGCCAUGGUGAGCAGUGCAGCCGCAACAGAAUGACUAAGAACCUGUAAUAAAAAAAUAAAAAAAAUCCCAUUUUCAGGACCAUAGAUAAAGAUUGUAAAUUGAAUGUUAUACGCCUGCAUGACAGUUUUCACUUGUGGCUUACCUGAGUGGCGAGAGGCACACUCAUUGUUGAAAAGGCAGUGAGGGACAGAUGCCGUUGGGUUAACUUGGGUGCCAUUCGGUGUUGUCUUUGUGAAUCAAUUUUAAACAUUUCAGUGAUGUCUCCCCAUUCUGCCAAUUUGUCCCCUAUGUAAAAUCCAUAUUUUCGCAAAUUGUUUCUGAUGUUUUUCAUUAAAUGGGGGGGGUCGAAUAAAAAAUGAAUCUUCUGGCUUUUGACAAAGAAGUACGGUUUUUCUUCUGUUAUACCCAGGUUUCUACAGGCUGCCAGGUUGUUGCUGCCUUGGUCCAUUACCAGCACCAUGGGAGUGAAGCCAGUGUCAAGCACCUUUUCCACCGCCUCCAUGAUUUUGGUUUUUAAGACCCCAUGCUUCAUGGUCCCAGAUGACAAGAAGUACCCUAUGGGUUGUUUCCAUUUCCCAGUUAGACUACGGAUCAUGAAAACCCCUGCAUGGUUGGCUGGUCUUCCCCCUUCGUCAUACCCUUCUACUUCAUCUUUCGAGAUGUUAUAAUUUAGGCUACAUUUCAAUGUAAUUUCAUCAAAUGUGAUGGCAACGUGCCUAUCUCGCUCUUCCAUAUGCUGCACUUGAUGUUUAAGUGCAUACAGCACAGGUUCAUGCCAUCCCGGCCCGAUGUCUACUCUCUGCAAGAUAUUUGAAAGGGUCCUGGCUGUAGGGAGCUUGAAAAUUCUCCUCAUGGUUCGGUAGGCUUUUGGCCCUGUACCCUUAACCUGUAACGCCCAACUUUUCAUGAAGUUGCUCCACCGAAUGGCCCUUGGUUUUUUUUUGGCAUUAUCAAUUUGCUCGUUGACAAAUUGUGCGGCUUGUUUUGGCAAUACUUUGGAAAUUUCCCUCUUUAAUGUUUGUUUGCUGAUAGAUGGUGUCUUUUUCUUUAGCCUUGACAGCUUUGAUUUGUAGCAGCCAAUUUUUCUUUUCAGUUUUUCCACUGUGUUGUCAUUGCUGACACUGGCCAGUACAUCAGUGCCUAAAAAGAAAUGUGACAACUGUAACAACAGACUUAUGCACAGACUACUACCUAUGCAGUGUUCAACACUCAGAAUGUAUCUGUUACCACCAUUUGCCAUUAAAUCACUUACUAUCCAGGA